rnacentral:misc_RNA from 1 species
GAAAAAUUCCAUCUCGAGUGAUGACAAAUAGUUCACCUUGAGAAUGCACAAUGUAGAGAUGCAUUCCACAGAUAAACUCAGAGGGAACGCCUUGAAACAUCCUUCCAAUAGUUGGUUCUAAUCCUCCUCUAAAGUCCAAUAUAACAACGCGUCCUCGAACAUCAACCCCAUAAAACCGUCCAUCAUGCCAUGUUACAUCAGAAUAAGUUGCUAUGCGAGUUUCAACAGUGAUAAAAGCAUUUUUUCCAGGUUUCCAAUAGGCUAAUGUAUGAGGAACUCCUUGACUAAUCAUUAAAAUAUAAUCGUCGUCGUCAGUGUUGUUAUGAGGAUCUGAAGAAAGCACCGCUUUUUGAACAUAAUGCUCACAGUAACCGCGUUCAUCAUCAAAAUUGAAACCUUUCAAUGUGUUCAUAUGAGGUAAUUCGAUAAUAGCACGAGAAUUAAGAUGGAACAAAUUCAUAUUACCUUCCCCAUCUGCUGUGAAAAGCCACCCUGGAAUUCCAACACCCAAACAUUGUUUUCCAGCAAGCUCUGGAAAAUUCAUGGUGUAAGUAAUGCCGUUUGUUAAGUCGAAAAACUCACGGUUUUCUUCAUCCCCUUCCUUCUCUGCGAGCAUCAAUAAUGGAACUGGAACUCCAAUCAACAAUGGAACUGGAACUCCAACUUUCUCCGCAACCAUGAUUGUAAGUACCAAACUUUGAUUUGAUGAUGAAUAAUCAAAACCUAAUCCCCUUUUAUAAC